rnacentral:rRNA from 1 species
GUGGGGAAUUUUGGACAAUGGGCGCAAGCCUGAUCCAGCCAUGCCGCGUGCAGGAUGAAGGCCUUCGGGUUGUAAACUGCUUUUGUACGGAACGAAAAGACUCUGGUUAAUACCUGGGGUCCAUGACGGUACCGUAAGAAUAAGCACCGGCUAACUACGUGCCAGCAGCCGCGGUAAUACGUAGGGUGCGAGCGUUAAUCGGAAUUACUGGGCGUAAAGCGUGCGCAGGCGGUUAUGUAAGACAGAUGUGAAAUCCCCGGGCUCAACCUGGGAAGUGCAUUUGUGACUGCAGAGCUAGAGUACGGCAGAGGGGGAUGGAAUUCCGCGUGUAGCAGUGAAAUGCGUAGAUAUGCGGAGGAACACCGAUGGCGAAGGCAAUCCCCUGGGCCUGCACUGACGCUCAUGCACGAAAGCGUGGGGAGCAAACAGGAUUAGAAACCCGGGUAGUCC